GACGAACGCUGGCGGCGUGCCUAAUACAUGCAAGUUGAGCGCUGAAGGUUGGUACUUGUACCGACUGGAUGAGCAGCGAACGGGUGAGUAACGCGUGGGGAAUCUGCCUUUGAGCGGGGGACAACAUUUGGAAACGAAUGCUAAUACCGCAUAAAAACUUUAAACACAAGUUUUAAGUUUGAAAGAUGCAAUUGCAUCACUCAAAGAUGAUCCCGCGUUGUAUUAGCUAGUUGGUGAGGUAAAGGCUCACCAAGGCGAUGAUACAUAGCCGACCUGAGAGGGUGAUCGGCCACAUUGGGACUGGGACACGGCCCAAACUCCUACGGGAGGCAGCAGUAGGGAAUCUUCGGCAAUGGACGAAAGUCUGACCGAGCAACGCCGCGGGAGUGAAGAAGGUUUUCGGAUCGUAAAACUCUGUUGGUAGAGAAGAACGUUGGUGAGAGUGGAAAGCUCAUCAAGUGACGGUAACUACCCAGAAAGGGACGGCUAACUACGUG
rnacentral:rRNA from 1 species